rnacentral:rRNA from 1 species
GCUUGAGUAUGUUUGAGGCAGGCGGAAUGCGUGGUGUAGCGGUGAAAUGCAUAGAUAUCACGCAGAACCCCGAUUGCGAAGGCAGCCUGCCAAGCCAUUACUGACGCUGAUGCACGAAAGCGUGGGGAUCAAACAGGAUUAGAUACCCUGGUAGUCCACGCAGUAAACGAUGAUCACUAGCUGUNUGCGAUACACUGUAAGCGGCACAGCGAAAGCGUUAAGUGAUCCACCUGGGGAGUACGCCGGCAACGGUGAAACUCAAAGGAAUUGACGGGGGCCCGCACAAGCGGAGGAACAUGUGGUUUAAUUCGAUGAUACGCGAGGAACCUUACCCGGGUUUGAACGCAUUCGGACCGAGGUGGAAACACCUUUUCUAGCAAUAGCCGUUUGCGAGGUGCUGCAUGGUUGUCGUCAGCUCGUGCCGUGAGGUGUCGGCUUAAGUGCCAUAACGAGCGCAACCCUUGCCACUAGUUACUAACAGGUAAAGCUGAGGACUCUGGUGGGACUGCCAGCGUAAGCUGCGAGGAAGGCGGGGAUGACGUCAAAUCAGCACGGCCCUUACAUCCGGGGCGACACACGUGUUACAAUGGCGUGGACAAAGGGAGGCCACCUGGCGACAGGGAGCGAAUCCCCAAACCACGUCUCAGUUCGGAUCGGAGUCUGCAACCCGACUCCGUGAAGCUGGAUUCGCUAGUAAUCGCGCAUCAGCCAUGGCGCGGUGAAUACGUUCCCGGGCCUUGUACACACCGCCCGUCAAGCCAUGGGAGCCGGGGGUACCUGAAGUCCGUAACCGCGAGGAUCGGCCUAGGGUAAAACUGGUG